rnacentral:rRNA from 1 species
UACGUAGGGGGCAAGCGUUGUCCGGAAUCAUUGGGCGUAAAGCGCGUGUAGGCGGUUCGGUAAGUCGGCUGUGAAAGUCCAGGGCUCAACCCUGGGAUGCCGGUCGAUACUGCCGGACUAGAGUUCGGAAGAGGCGAGUGGAAUUCCCGGUGUAGCGGUGAAAUGCGCAGAUAUCGGGAGGAACACCAAUGGCGAAGGCAGCUCGCUGGGACGUUACUGACGCUGAGACGCGAAAAGCG